UAAGUACUCCCUCCGUUCUAAAUUACUUAUCGCAGGUAUGCAUGUAUCUAGAUGUAUUUUAAUUCUAGAUAUAUCCAUUCCUGCGACGAGUAAUUUGGAAUGGAGGGAGUAUAUG
rnacentral:pre_miRNA from 1 species